rnacentral:rRNA from 1 species
UAAUACGUAGGUGGCAAGCGUUGUCCGGAUUUACUGGGCGUAAAGCGUAUGCAGGCGGAUCUUUAAGUAGGAAGUGAAAGGUUGGAGCUCAACUCCAACACUGCUCCCUAUACUGGAGGUCUUGAGUGGCGGAGAGGGAGAUGGAACGACACGUGUAGCGGUGAAAUGCGUUGAUAUGUGUCGGAACACCAAUGGCGAAAGCAAUCUCCUGGACGCCAACUGACGCUGAGAUACGAAAGCCAAGGUAGCAAACAGGAUUAGAUACCCUGGUAGUCUUGGCCAUAAACGAUGUUCACUAGGUGUCGGGGUUUCACCUCGGUGCCGCAGCUAACGCAUUAAGUGAACCGCCUGGGAACUACGAUCGCAAGAUUA